UGACCUUGUGUUUAUUAUUUUUAUUUGAGGAAAUUUAGUUGGAUAUGAAAUUGUGGAGGAUGAUAUAUAUGUUGGAGUGCGAGGCUUUCUAAACGUCUAAAUGACUAAGCCACAUGAUCGAUUAUGCUUAAUAAAGAAACUUGGGUUAUUUUAUCUUACCAUGAAUAUUUGUUGGAGUUCUGUGCAGACUUUGGAGCUAGUUCACCAAGAAAGAGUAAGCUUAUCAGCGAAACUAGUUGAGAAAAGCACAUAUUAUGCCAAGGUUGCUGAGGAUAUCCAUGUCAAUUUCCAGCAGCUACAAAUAAUAUUUCUCAAGAUUUGACCUCUCAACUUCAGAAUGUCCACCAAGCUGACAGUCUGUUUAUCCUGUUCUUUUAGGGAUGGGUUAACUGUCGCACGUCAAGCUCAGACACAAAAAUGCGUGACUUGGUACUCCUUGUUUAUUCUACUUUUGGACUUGCUGUUACCAUUAGAUUGUAAAUUUGUCAUAUGGAAAAGGAUCAUCCUUUGUUGUCCUCCAACCAUAUAUGAAAUUUUUAAAUACACAUGCUCACAAACACAUACAAACAUCUUGGUUUGCAUUGCUUCGGUCACUUUUUUCCCUCUUGUAGUUCCUCAACAUUAGUCUUCAAAGGGCUGAACUUUUUUUAUUUUGUGAACUGAAGGCUGAAUUUAAUGAUGGGAACUCUAGUACUAAUUAUAUUAUGGUUCCCCUUGUAGGAAAGAGUUUGUUAACAUGCUUGAAUUCUCCCAUUUCUUUCUGUCUUGGCUAUUACCUUACAGUUUUUUUUUUUUUUUUUUUGGGGUGGGGUCAGAAACCCAAUGGUUAGUAAUGUGCUUCUAAGAUCAUAGCAGUGCUUUGCUAACGAGAAUAUUGGCAGGUCUAGGAAACAAUGGAUGAAGAAAAGGUUGCAGCUGGAGAUGAAGAAGCGAAUUGAGCAAAUGAAAAGCCAGUCAAACGAGUUCCAGGAAGAGCUAAGGGCAAUGGAUGGUAAGGCCUUGGAAAAGGAACAAAAAGCUCUUUUAGCAGAUAUCGUUGGGGAAACCGAUUCCUGAAGUCUCUGCAGAAUCAAAUCGAGAAACUGAAGG